rnacentral:sRNA from 2 species
CUCAAACAUUGCGCCAACCUACUCCGUACACUGUGGGUAAUGAGAAAUAGCAGGUCUUGCAGAUCGUCGUAACUUGGAAUAUCUCAAUUCAUGCUCUGGAACUCUAUUCCACAAAUAUGAGGAUUCCAAGUUACACCUGUCAAGCCACCAAAAAAACACGCGCAGAGUACUCUUGAAUAAUUGAUUGUCAAGAUCAUAUCCAAACAAAAGCUGCGGUAACUCCAUACCCCAUGCGCAUGCGGACUGCACGAACUACGCCGUUCAAUUAACGUUCCCAUCCGUUUGGUAAUCCAGGAGCUCACUGGCGCCCACCAAAGAAGCCCAACACUCAGGAAGGCAAAACUUAGACUUGAGCCUUGCUACAAUGGUUGGUGCUAAUCGACAUGACAUUCCAAUGCCAAAUGGUUACUAAAGCACUGCCGGACAGUCCUUGACUUUGACCUCUGACAACGUCUGCCUACGAAGAUAGAGAACUGUCGAGGCAGAGAAAGAAGAGAGCGGAAAGCGGCGUCCAAAAUACAUUCCCCAAACCUUGAUUUAUUAAACGCUUCCCGCUUGAGUGCGGUUUAAGUUUUCAGAAUCUAUUCGUCAUUGGAGCGGCAAAUAGACCCGG